AUUGAACGCUGGCGGCAGGCCUAACACAUGCAAGUCGAGCGAGCGGCGAACGGGUGAGUACAGUAUGGGGAUCUGCCCGCUAGAGGGGGAUAACUACUGGAAACGGUAGCUAAUACCGCAUACCAUCGGAUGUGCGCAGAUGGGAUUAGCUAGUAGGUGGGGUAAAGGCUCACCUAGGCGACGAUCCCUAGCUGGUCUGAGAGGAUGAACAGCCACACUGCAACUGAGACACGGUCCACACUCCAACGGGCGGCAGCAGUGGGGAAUAGUGCACAAUGGGCGCAAGCCUGAUGCAGCCAUGCCGCGUGUAUGAAGAAGGCCUUCGGGUUGUAAAGUACUUACAGCUUGCAGGCGUUACCCGCAGAAGAAGCACCGGCUAACUCCGUGCCAGCAGCCGCGGUAAUAC
rnacentral:rRNA from 1 species